GCGCGGUCCUCUGCUUCGGCCCCUUCCCGAAGACUACACCUCAGGACUCGGUUCCUGUUCCUGAGGAACAGAAAUGCUCUUUGUGAGGGGAUUCGGCACGGUGGACUUCCUGUCACGGGACUGCACACAUGGAGGAGAAAGCAGAAGCUUAGAGAAACGCCAAGAAUCCCUCUGUGCUCUGUUCCAGCCUGUCCAAAAUUCUGGCACCUCAUACCCCUUCUGGAAGCAAUGGCUGUCCCGCCAGCAGACCAGGCCCCCUUGGAGGCUGCACACACGAAGGAGAAAGCAGAAGCUUAGAGAAAUGCCAAGAAUCCCUCUGUGCUGUGUUCCAGGCUGUCCCAAGAUUCUGACACCUCAUACAUCGUGGAGUUCUUCAUUGGAACAUGUGCUAAGCCAUGGCCCUAAGAACAAGGAGGUGAGCAGCCAGGAGCAAUACCUGCAGGGAGGGCCGGGAUGCUGGUGUCGGAGGAGUGGCAGUGGAUUCAACAGGACCCUCAGGUUUGUCCAUCCUUGCCUGGUAUUAAAAGAACAGAAAGGACACGUUGUGAGGCAGCAGGUUAAGCCACCACUUGGAAGGUCCACAUCCGAUCAGAGCACCAGCUCAAGACCCAGCGAUUCCACUUCCUAUCCAGCUCCCCACCAAUGA
rnacentral:lncRNA from 1 species